rnacentral:tRNA from 1 species
GAGCCAUUAGCUCAGUUGGCAGAGCACCGGACUUUUAAUCCGGGUGUCCCAGGUUCGAAUCCUGGAUGGCUCA